rnacentral:rRNA from 1 species
UACAGAGGGUGCGAGCGUUAAUCGGAAUUACUGGGCGUAAAGCGUGCGUAGACGGUUAUUUAAGUCGGGUGUGAAAGCCCCGGGCUCAACCUGGGAAUUGCAUUCGAGACUGAAUAGCUAGGGUACGGUAGAGGGAAGCGGAAUUUCCGGUGUAGCGGUGAAAUUCGUAGAUAUCGAGAGGAACACCGGUGGCGAAGGCGGCCUUCUGGACAGUAACUGACGCUGAGACGCGAAAGCGUGGGGAGCAAACAGG